UAAUCAACCACAUAAAUACACUUGUUUGCAUACAGGUUCAACUUCUUUAGCACAAAGAUAAAGCAAUAAGUUAUCAUGAUACCCAUCUCCAAAGGUUAGUUCAUUGAUGAAGUAAAUAGAAUCUUGGGCAUGGUGUUUGCUUGAUACCGUGAAUGCUGUUACCAAAAAUCUUCCCAAGAAACAUUAACUUUGCCUCUUUCUAGGUAAAACAAAUUAAAUCUGUAAAAGAUCUUAUAUGCUUGAGUUAGAAAAACCCUGAAUAUAUUUGGGUUGGUGACAAAAGUGAAAUAUAACACCCCUGCCACUUUGAACAAAACUACAUUGAUUGUGAACUGUAGUAAAAUAUGUCAUAUAAUCCUUUUUGAGAAGCCAUCUGAGAAAGAGUAUUAUGUUUUUCUUCAGUGGUAAAGAGUUGCAGUAUCUAAACCAAGUUUUCUACUGGCUACACUCGGCUAUUUCUAUUCUUGACCUCUAUGGUUGACAGCAGCAGAUGAGAAAAAUGAAGUCUGUAAUAAGUUUGUCUGUAAGAGAGCUGCAGUGCUCUUUAUAACUGAUCCUGCAGCCAGGGUGCAGGAUACCCAGGUCAUGAUUUGGGUUCUUUAGUUCGAUUGCCCAGAGGAUACCAACUCAUAUUCCCAGGGAGAUCAAACUGCCAAGUAAAAUGAGGAUGGCGAAGCUGUAUCAAUUUUACUUCUCUCAGGAGAAGAAAAGGAUGGUGUAGCUACCUCUCAAGAAGAGGAUACCUAUGAAAGAAGGAAAAAUUAAUCCAGAAAAACUUAGGGACAUCCAGAAAAUACCAGAGCCCUUUUUAGCCCAAGAUCAACCAUUAAAAGGAAGACCUCAAAGGUAUUUCAUUUCCUAUGUACGUUAGUGUAUCUGAUAAGUAUUUGAACAAGUUACCUCUACCUGAAUAUGCUGUGUCUCUUUGUCUUGCUGUGACACUUUGGAUAAGGUCUCUGCAGAAAAUAUAGAAACAACUGACCAAAGAGUUGUUAAUGAGAAUACAGCUCUUAUCUCUCACCAAUGACUACAUGGAAGAAUUUAGAGCCUAUUUCAAUAACAAUAUGUUGUUCAUCCUUCAGUCAGAUGGAAAGAGACCAGAAGCAGGAGAGAGAGAGUACAUGCGGGCCAAUGAUGUUAGUAAUGAAGAAGGAGAGGAAGAGAAAGAAAGAGACAGAUGAGAUGGAAAAUGGAAAAGAAAGUGUUGAAAACAGAGGAGCCUCAAACUCAGUCUGCCCCUAAUACUGAUGAGGCACAGAAAACCAAGGACAUUUCUAUAAAGUUCAUGAACACAGAUGAGGAGGCUGAAGAUGGCCCAGAUGCUGAUUUCUUUAAGGAUCUGAAUCCAGUGACAAGAAAAAAGUGACCAAAAUCACACGCAAAAGAAAUGAGAAAUUUUAAGUGAAUAAGAACAUAAUUCUUACUGACGAAGGGAAGUAGGUUCAGCGCUGGCCACCGAUGCAGAAGUGCAUCUUAAAGGAUGCUAAGGAAGAGGAUUGUAGUGGUAUAAACCUUGAAAAAUCAAAAGAAAGGCUUCAGGAAGUGGAAAAAUUUGACAAAGAAGAGUAGAGGAAAAAAGUUAAGACAAAGCAUAUGGAGAAAAUACUUCAAAGGGGAAGCAAAAAGAGAGGCCAGCAAGGCCAAAGAUGAAGGGAAUGUCUUUUAGGAUCUCAGUGGUAAUAAUGGGAAAUUCGAUUAAUUCACUCUUAGAUCCUCGUACAUACAGAUGUCUGAAGAAUCAGAUAGUGAAGAUACGGAAAAUAAAAUUAGUAGUUCAGGAAAACCCAUAGAAGGAAGAAAAGGAGCCACAGUAAAGUGGACAAUGUGAAACUACUAUUAUAACAAGUUGCAAAUGAAAGAAGGCCAAGUAGGAAUCCUCAGAGUCUCUGGAUACAGUUCUGUCUCUAGCAGAAGACAAAGAGCUUAAAUUUUA
rnacentral:lncRNA from 1 species